UCGGUGCCUAAUCCCGUGCACAUUGUAGGCCUCAUUAAAUGUUUGUUGAAUGAAAAAAUGAAUCAUCAACAGACAUUAAUUGGGCGCCUGCUCUGUGAUCUCCAUGGGCUCAGCUUU
rnacentral:precursor_RNA from 12 species